AAGUCGUAACAAGGUUUCCGUAGGUGACCUGCGGAAGGAUCAUUGUCGAUGCCUCGCACAAUCAAUUGGACCGGCGAACCUGUUUGUCUACCCGUCGGGUCUGGAGGAGGCGUUCGAGGACGCCCUUUCCUCUCCCGAGUUGGGAAGGAGGCGGCUCCUUCCCAGCAAAACACAAACCCCGGCGCUUCGUGCGCCAAGGAAUUCAUAAUUGUUAAGCGCAGCACCGUGGACCCGGAGACGGCGUUCUGGCGUUGUUGCGACACGAGUUAUCUAAAAUGACUCUCGGCAACGGAUAUCUCGGCUCUUGCAUCGAUGAAGAACGUAGCGAAAUGCGAUACUUGGUGUGAAUUGCAGAAUCCCGUGAACCAUCGAGUCUUUGAACGCAAGUUGCGCCCGAAGCCAUUAGGCCGAGGGCACGCCUGCCUGGGUGUCACGCGCCGUUACCCCCCAGCAAGAAGCUGUGUAGGGUGCACGAUGGCCUCCUGCGAGCGUUGCCUUGUGGUUGGCUGAAAACUGAGUUCAUGGCCGAGUGUGCUGUGGUCAAACGGUGGAUGAGCAAAGCUCGAUGCCGGCCACGUGCACGUUCGUGCCGUAUUUGGACCCUGGACCUCGUGCGUGAUUUUACACGGAUGCCUCUAACGAGACCUCAGGUCAGGCGGGGCUACCCGCUGAGUUUAA
rnacentral:rRNA from 1 species